ACCGACAGCACCUUAGCGAUAUAGGGGAUCAGCGGCAGGUUCAGGAUCAAGAGCACCAAAUUGCCAAUGAACAUCGACAUGAUCACCGCCCAAAAGAUCUGCGGCUCGUCGAUCAUCAGGCGCGGGCC
rnacentral:ncRNA from 2 species